AUGAUUUUAUUUGCUCUUAACUGGGAAUGGAAUAGAAGUUACAAUUCUUUAAUUUUAAUAAUCUCCUUAGGUAUUGAUGAUCCACAUGUAAGACAUACGCCCAUCAGAAAAUCACAGGGUUGAAGAAGUUCCCAUGGGAUUGAAAAGACUACCAGGACACCUCAGUUCACGUCGGACCAUUCACAGCAGCAGAAGGGCAGGAUCGGCUGUAGAAAAGGAGACUGAAGAGUUUUCUGCCCCUGCCCAGGGGAGCAAGGUUCCAUGUAGAAGAACCAAUGUGUGCCCAAGAGGCACAGCUGCUAGACCACAGUUCAGAGCCAGAGAAAUUACUUCCACCUCUACCCUACCCUGGCAGCCACUCGAAUUAGGAAUACUGACAUGUUUACAGACAUUAUGGAUGUGACCGAUUUGGGGAUCUUAUGGGCGGUCCAUAAAUUUACAGAAAGUUGACAACACCAUUGUCCCGGAAUACUAUGGGACUUGAUACCUAUAUUUCCUUCCCCAAACUCAACUGGCCUCUUACCAAGAGGAAAGGGAAAGGCCUAGUGGAGAUAAGAUUAAUGACUUUGGAAACCCAUGCCACUAGCGCCACCUCGGAGCCCA
rnacentral:lncRNA from 1 species